rnacentral:ribozyme from 11 species
UAGACAAGCUUUGAAAGGUGCUCCCUCUCGAGAUGCAUAUCGGGGCAAGUGCCCGAGACAAACAGCCUAACCUCUCUAGAAACGCUCGGGUGCACUAAAAUGCCAACUUCAACAGAAAGAGGCUCACU